rnacentral:rRNA from 1 species
AUUGAACGCUGGCGGCAGGCCUAACACAUGCAAGUCGAGCGGAGCGGCGGACGGGUGAGUAAUGCCUAGGAAUCUGCCUGGUAGUGGGGGAUACCGUCCGGGAAGGGGAGAUAAGACCGCAUACUAUCAAAUGAGCCUCGGGCGGAUUAGCGAGUUGGUGGGGUAAAGGCUUACCAAGGCGACGAUCCGUAACUGGUCCGAGAGGAUGAUCAGUCACACUGGAACUGAGACACGGUCCAGACUCCUACGGGAGGCAGCAGUGGGGAAUAUUGGACAAUGGGCGAAAGCCUGAUCCAGCCAUGCCGCGUGUGUGAAGAAGGUUUUCGGAUUGUAAAGCACUUUAAGUUGGGAGGCGUUACCAACAGAAUAAGCACCGGCUAACUUCGUGCCAGCAGCCGCGGUAAUAC